rnacentral:rRNA from 1 species
CCUACGUGAGGCAGCAGUGAGGAAUAUUGGUCAAUGGGCUUACGCCUGAACCAGCCAAGUCGCGUGAGGGAAGACUGCCCUAUGGGUUGUAAACCUCUUUUGUCAGGGAGCAACGCCGGCUACGUGUAGCCGGACUGAGAGUACCUGAAGAAAAAGCAUCGGCUAACUCCGUGCCAGCAGCCGCGGUAAUACGGAGGAUGCGAGCGUUAUCCGGAUUUAUUGGGUUUAAAGGGUGCGUAGGCGGAAUGCCAAGUACGCGGUAAAAUCGCGGGGCUCAACCUCGCUCCGCCGUUGAAACUGGCGUUCUUGAGUGGGCGAGAGGUAUGCGGAAUGCGUGGUGUAGCGGUGAAAUGCAUAGAUAUCACGCAGAACUCCGAUUGCGAAGGCAGCAUACCGGCGCCCAACUGACGCUGAAGCACGAAAGCGUGGGUAUCGAACAGGAUUAGAUACCCUUGUAGUC